rnacentral:tRNA from 3 species
GCUAACGUAGCUCAGUCGGUAGAGCAACGGUUUCGUAAACCGUAGGUCGUGGGUUCGAAUCCCUCCGUUAGCUCCA